UCUGCCUUAUCGGCAAGCGGUCUUGCUAGAGUGCCCAACUUAAUGCUGGCAACUAACAACAAGGGUUGCGCUCGUUGCGGGACUUAACCCAACAUCUCACGACACGAGCUGACGACAGCCAUGCAGCACCUGUCACCGCGUCUCCGAAGAGAUUUCACUACUUUCAUAGCUAUGCGCGGGAUGUCAAGCCCAGGUAAGGUUUUGCGCGUUGCAUCGAAUUAAACCACAUAAUCCACCGCUUGUGCGGGCCCCCGUCAAUUUCUUUGAGUUUUAAUCUUGCGACCGUACUCCCCAGGCGGGAUACUUAACGCGUUAGCUACGACACCGAAAGGGUAAGAACUUCCGACAUCUAGUAUCCAUCGUUUACGGUGUGGACUAC
rnacentral:misc_RNA from 1 species